rnacentral:rRNA from 1 species
CUGCUGCCUCCCGUAGGAGUUUGGGCCGUGUCUCAGUCCCAAUGUGGCCGUUCACCCUCUCAGGCCGGCUACUGAUCGUUGCCUUGGUAGGCCAUUACCCCACCAACUAGCUAAUCAGACGCGGAACCAUCGUAUACCACAGAGUUUUUCACACCGCUUCAUGCGAAGCUGUGCGCUUAUGCGGUAUUAGCACCUAUUUCUAAGUGUUAUCCCCCAGUAUACGGCAGGUUUUCCACGCGUUACUCACCCGUCCGCCA